UACGAAGGGGGCUAGCGUUGCUCGGAAUCACUGGGCGUAAAGGGUGCGUAGGCGGGUCUUUAAGUCAGGGGUGAAAUCCUGGAGCUCAACUCCAGAACUGCCUUUGAUACUGAAGAUCUUGAGUUCGGGAGAGGUGAGUGGAACUGCGAGUGUAGAGGUGAAAUUCGUAGAUAUUCGCAAGAACCCCCGUGGCGAAGGCGGCUCACUGGCCCGAUACUGACGCUGAGGCGCGAAACCGUGGGGAGCAAACAGG
rnacentral:rRNA from 1 species